UCGAACGGCAAUCAGUAGCAAUACUGGUGAGAGUGGCGGACGGGUGCGUAACGCGUAUGCAACCUACCUUGCGGCGGGGGAUAGCCUGGAGAAAUCCAGAUUAAUACCCCAUGAGACCACGCCCCGGCAUCGGGGAGGGGUCAAAGAUUUAUCACCGCAAGAUGGGCAUGCGUGACAUUAGCUAGUUGGCGGGGUAACGGCCCACCAAGGCUACGAUGUCUAGCUGGUCUGAGAGGAUGAUCAGCCACACUGGGACUGAGGCACGGCCCAGACUCCUACGGGAGGCAGCAGUAGGGAAUAUUGGACAAUGGGCGAAAGCCUGAUCCAGCCAUGCCGCGUGAAGGAUGAAGGGCCUCUGGCUUGUAAACUUCUUUUGGCGGGGGAUAAACCACCACUACAAGUGGUGCUGAAGGUACCCGCAGAAUAAGCACCGGCUAACUCCGUGCCAGCAGCCGCGGUAAUACGGAGGGUGCAAGCGUUGUCCGGAUUCAUUGGGUUUAAAGGGUGCGUAGGCGGUACGUUAAGUCAGUGGUGAAAUCCUGGGGCUCAACCCCGGAAUUGCCAUAGAUACUGGCGUGCUUGAGUUCGACCGAGGCGGUUGGAAUGCGUGGUGUAGCGGUGAAAUGCUUAGAUAUCACGCGGAACACCGAUUGCGAAGGCAGAUCGCUAGGUCGCGACUGACGCUGAGGCACGAAAGUGC
rnacentral:rRNA from 1 species